UGGUUGUUCUCUGAGGAGGAAGGGACAGGAGCUCGUGUGAGGGACAGACAGGGUAAGGUGGCUGUGCCAGGGACGGGAACCAGCGAGAUGGAAAUGCUGAAGAAGGAGAGAAAGAGCCAGAGCUGUGUGGAGCUGCUCAUGGGACUGCAACAUAGAAAAGGAACUCAUGGAAAUAAACCCUGGCUGUACAGCUGGUGCCCAUGGAAAGUGCUGUGGAACAGAAAUAGGAGAGUCACAAGUGAGGUGUCCGUGGCUGGUGGCGAGCAGGGACUGUCCAUGCCUGACAGGAAUGUCACUGCAAAGAGCUGAAAGAGGAUCUGUUUAGGAGACCCUGUUCUUACACGGGUUCCUCUGGAUUUCAGAGAGGAAUUCCAGCCAGGUGCACGUGCGUACCCAAAUAUACCAAGCUAUAAGGAGGCUUAAAGAUUUUCCAGGGUGAAGAAAAAAACUGAUCAACGCGUAGGUCGCAUAACUGCGUUUACCUUGUGGUGGACCAGCCUUCCAUAGGUCAUUCCCUAUGCUGCAGAGGGCACGUUUGAGGACAACAAAGCCCAUGCCCCAGUUCUCACUGAUUUUUACUGGGAGCCUGACUCCCAUUUGCCUCUGACUGUUACUACCCCUCGUCCCUAAAAUCCCCGCCGUGUCCCCUGUGGGCUGUUCUGUUCCUGCCGUGUGACCCCAUGGCCCCAGACGGAGGUGCUGGCAGGGAGCUUUGGCUGCCUUUGGUGUGUGCAAAACUGCAGCAGCAGCGACGGGAGAUGCUGAAAUCGUUACGGGAGGCCUUGCAAUUGGCACGCAGUUCUGGAGGUGGGCAUUGUGUUGGAGAGCUGUCCUUAAUUAAUCCCGAGCCUCCAGAGCACGCUUUCUCAUCUCUUCCUCCCCAGCCCUCCCCUCACAAAGGUGUCUCUGCUCAUUAAUCAAAUCACUUUUCUGUUCCUGCCGUGGUUUGAACACUGGAAUUCUUGCCAGCCUGUGCAGGAGUGAAAGCCAAGGUAUUUGGUGUGUGCGAGCUGCUGAGCUGCAGUUCCCUCCUUCUCCCCAUCCCUGAGCCCUCGCUCCUCUGAUCUCACCACUCGGAUUUAAACGCGGGGGCCAGACCGAAAGGGCAGAGAUUUGUUUGGCUUUUGGCCCGGCGAGCUCGGGCCUGUCCGGACUUGUCCACUGACCAGUCGAGGACAGCGAGUUUCUCUCUGAACACGGAUUUUUCCUGCCCCCCUUCCCGGCACAAAACUCCUUGGCAUGAGUUCACCCUCCAGAAACCUCAGUAUUUACACAGGCUUCGUGGCUGGGAUUUACGCAGGGCCCAGCUGCUGGUGCUUAUCUUCAGCUUUCUGAAGGAAAAGGUUGAAAUUGAGAAUUACAGGAGAGAGCUUCUGCUUGUUGCACAAUCCCCCAGCUUGCUCCAAAAAAAGGGGUCUCCCUAAACCACCUCCAGCAGGUUUCAAAUAUUAUUUCAAAUAUUAUGCCAUUUGAAAUGGCAUAAUGUGCCCUGAGGAGGAGAGGAAAGGUGUUUGGAAAGGCCAUCCAUGUGCAAACAGAGCUCUGUCCGUAGGAAAUCUGGGAAAGUGGUCGUUGGAACACCGAUCUGAGUUUCUUUCCCUUAAGAUCACAGGUUCUGCUCAGAGAAUGGGAGAGCAAUGGAGAAGUUUGUAAGAUACAGGUGGCCCUGAAAAGCAGCAAGUGCAGCUCUUCAGCACGAAAGGGAGGGGCUGUGUGAAAUUAGCAAAGAGUUUUCAUUAAUAUUUCUAGUAGGAAUAACAAUAUUUCCUUUCUAGGCUUGUAGUUUUUUUUAAGAAGUCAUUCACUAUCACUUUAACCUUGAAUAUCUAAGGGGUUUUUUUGUGUUUUAGCUUAGGAGAGAGAACCAGAAGCUUCCUUAUCAGAGGUAUAAUUUUUAGAAGGUGAAAUUACUUGAAAAUAUAGAGUGUUAUCCAAAAUAUGGAGUGCUUUUGUUCAGGACCCUUUAAUAAUGUAAAUCUUCCAAAAAAAAAAAAAAAAAAUCCUGUUUUUAGGUAAUAGUCUGGAAAAACCCCACCAUAUUUUAAUUAAAUUAAAUCAAAUCACACUGAAAUGCAGAAGACUUAAAUAGAUUGGCUGACGGGUGUAGCUGCUAAUCUGGCCUAUGUUCUGUUCACCCUGCGUAAUCAUCAUCUAUUCUGUGUGUGUUGUUCCAGACCCACUACAUCCCAAAAUAUUUUGUGGAGUUAAUCAAAUAUAACCUGAAAUUCAAAGAAGAGGAGAACAGUUAAGGUGUUCACUCAGGAGAUAAAUGUAUUGAUUUCAGGUGCAGCUUAGAAACAGGAAAAAAAUCGUCAGAUCCAUGAGGGAAUUUUCUCAGAGCUGCUGUAGCAUAUCCAGAGAGCUGCAGCAGUUCCGGGGGCUCCUCAGUUUGGUUCCUGGAUCUGCAGUCUGUGAGUUAAUAAAGAGGAGAUAGAAGAUGUUCCAUCAUCCUGCUGCAGGCCAGCAAAGCUCAGUUGCCAGAUUUCUCUCGUGCCUAGGAUACGGGCUGUCUGAAGGAAUUAGCAGUGCUGCCUUGGAGAUCAGCAGGGUCUCUCCUGCCUUCGUUCCAGCAGCAUUCGUCGGCACCGCUUCGGAGGAGUUCAGGCUGAAGACCUCCGAAGUGAGGCACCUCUCUUGCUUUGAGAAUCUGGGAUUUUUUCCCAGAUGCUUUUCAGAGCUUUUGUGAUUGCCUGGCUCUUUCCAUUUCUCAAAUUCCAUGUUUCCCCCCGCCCCCGGCCUCCUCUGACCCAGCCUUAUCCUUCUUUCCUUUCUCGGUGCCUCUAACCUGCUUCUUGAACCAUUUACCUGUUUUUCUGAUCAAAGAAUAUUUCAGUCUGAGUUUGGGAAGAAAUUAGUUUUAGUCAGUCUGUAUCAGAAACAUGUGGCCCUGUGCUACCAGACCACUUCACCAUCAUCAUUCUUAGCCAGGUUUAUUCGAAUUUGCACACAACCCUGUUUAAAGUAGGAAAUCAGGCAGAAACAAACCUUCUGUUUCCAGCCAGACACAGUGUUCAGAAGUCCUCAGUUCAAAUUUCAGCCAUUUCUAAUUAAGAGCUCAUCAAACCUCAUAAAACCCUCAAGGUUUCCAAGGAUUUCUUGCUAAUGGCCACACUUGGAAGAAAAGAAAAGUACUUUAAGUUAUUUUGCUUUCCAAGUGCACUGUGUACUUUUGUCCUCAUCUCCCAUUGCUUUCUGUGACAUCUGUGGACAAAAUGUGUUUGGAGAUGAUUUGGUCACUUAGAUGGGAAAUUUUAUAUUGAGUACAUUAGCGUGUAAAUUUGGGUUUCCAAAUGCUUUGGGUCAUCAGCUCAUGCAGAGAUGCAAACACACACAUGGGCUUGUGUACACUGGUUAAAACAGCACGAUAA